GCAUAUCAAUAAGCGGAGGAAAAGAAACCAACAGGGAUUGCCUCAGUAACGGCGAGUGAAGCGGCAACAGCUCAAAUUUGAAAUCUGGCGCAAGCCCGAGUUGUAAUUUGCAGAGGAUGUUUCGGGUGAAGCCACGGUCCAAGUCCCUUGGAACAGGACGUCAUAGAGGGUGAGAACCCCGUACCUGGCCGUCGGUGCCCCCCGCUGUGAAACUCCUUCGACGAGUCGAGUUGUUUGGGAAUGCAGCUCUAAAUUGGUGGUAAAUUCCAUCUAAAGCUAAAUACCGGCCAGAGACCGAUAGCGCACAAGUAGAGUGAUCGAAAGAUGAAAAGCACUUUGAAAAGAGAGUUAAAAAGUACGUGAAAUUGUUGAAAGGGAAGCGCUUGCGGCCAGACUUGCCCGCGGUUGCUCAGCCCGCCUUUUGGCGGGUGCACUCUUCCGCGGUCAGGCCAGCAUCGGUUUGGGCGGUCGGAUAAAGGCGUUGGGAACGUGGCCUCCCCUCGGGGAGGUGUUAUAGCCCGGCGCGCAAUGCGACCAGCCCGGACCGAGGUUCGCGCUUUGCUAGGAUGCUGGCGUAAUGGCCGUAAGCGGCCCGUCUUGAAACACGGACCAAGGAGUCUAACAUCUAUGCGAGUGUUUGGGUGUCAAACCCGUGCGCGUAAUGAAAGUGAACGGAGGUGGGAACCGCAAGGUGCACCAUCGACCGAUCCUGAUGUCUUCGGAAGGAUUUGAGUAAGAGCAUAGCUGUUGGGACCCGAAAGAUGGUGAACUAUGCGUGAAUAGGGUGAAGCCAGAGGAAACUCUGGUGGAGGCUCGCAGCGGUUCUGACGUGCAAAUCGAUCGUCAAAUUUGCGUAUAGGGGCGAAAGACUAAUCGAACCAUUUAGUAGCUGGUUCCUGCG
rnacentral:rRNA from 1 species